rnacentral:rRNA from 1 species
UACGUGAGGUGCAAACGUUACCCGGAAUUAUUGGGCGUAAAGCGUCCGCAGGUGGCGUAGUAAGUAGGGUAUUAAAUCUUGAGGCUCAACUUCAAGGCUGUGCUCUAGACUACUAUGCUAGAGAAAUGGAGAGGUGAGUGGAAUUCUUCAUGUAGGGGUAAAAUCCGUAGAUAUGAAGAGGAACACCAAAAGCGAAGGCAGCUCACUGGCCAUUUUCUGACACUCAUGGACGAAAGCGUGGGGAGCGAACGGG